rnacentral:rRNA from 1 species
GGUUAAGCGACUAAGCGUACACGGUGGAUGCCCUGGCAGUCAGAGGCGAUGAAGGACGUGCUAAUCUGCGAUAAGCGUCGGUAAGGUGAUAUGAACCGUUAUAACCGGCGAUUUCCGAAUGGGGAAACCCAGUGUGUUUCGACACACUAUCAUUAACUGAAUCCAUAGGUUAAUGAGGCGAACCGGGGGAACUGAAACAUCUAAGUACCCCGAGGAAAAGAAAUCAACCGAGAUUCCCCCAGUAGCGGCGAGCGAACGGGGAGCAGCCCAGAGCCUGAAUCAGUGUGUGUGUUAGUGGAAGCGUCUGGAAAGGCGCGCGAUACAGGGUGACAGCCCCGUACACAAAAAUGCACAUGCUGUGAGCUCGAUGAGUAGGGCGGGACACGUGGUAUCCUGUCUGAAUAUGGGGGGACCAUCCUCCAAGGCUAAAUACUCCUGACUGACCGAUAGUGAACCAGUACCGUGAGGGAAAGGCGAAAAGAACCCCGGCGAGGGGAGUGAAAAAGAACCUGAAACCGUGUACGUACAAGCAGUGGGAGCACGCUUAGGCGUGUGACUGCGUACCUUUUGUAUAAUGGGUCAGCGACUUAUAUUCUGUAGCAAGGUUAACCGAAUAGGGGAGCCGAAGGGAAACCGAGUCUUAACUGGGCGUUAAGUUGCAGGGUAUAGACCCGAAACCCGGUGAUCUAGCCAUGGGCAGGUUGAAGGUUGGGUAACACUAACUGGAGGACCGAACCGACUAAUGUUGAAAAAUUAGCGGAUGACUUGUGGCUGGGGGUGAAAGGCCAAUCAAACCGGGAGAUAGCUGGUUCUCCCCGAAAGCUAUUUAGGUAGCGCCUCGUGAAUUCAUCUCCGGGGGUAGAGCACUGUUUCGGCAAGGGGGUCAUCCCGACUUACCAACCCGAUGCAAACUGCGAAUACCGGAGAAUGUUAUCACGGGAGACACACGGCGGGUGCUAACGUCCGUCGUGAAGAGGGAAACAACCCAGACCGCCAGCUAAGGUCCCAAAGUCAUGGUUAAGUGGGAAACGAUGUGGGAAGGCCCAGACAGCCAGGAUGUUGGCUUAGAAGCAGCCAUCAUUUAAAGAAAGCGUAAUAGCUCACUGGUCGAGUCGGCCUGCGCGGAAGAUGUAACGGGGCUAAACCAUGCACCGAAGCUGCGGCAGCGAC